CAAGGAAACCAUAUGAUGUCAGAGAUGUUAUUGAGCAGUACUCACAGGGACAUCUUAACAUGAUGGUGCGAAUAAAGGAGCUGCAAAGGAGAUUGGACCAUUCUUUAGGAAAACCAGGGAUCUUUCUCCCAGAAAAGGGUCUAGACAAAGGGUACUAUACAGUAGGGGCCAGAAUGAUCCGUCUGGAGGAUAAGGUCAGUGAAAACUAUUUCUCUGCCAUUGUCACUGCCUGAUCUGAAUGGUGUUGA